CAGCAUGGAUUGUCCAUAAUGAACAUGUUGGCUUUGUAAAGAAAGAAAACUGUCUUCCAGAAGUUUAGAGGUCCUCUCUCCAACAUCAGACAACAGUAUGCAGCACCUCCCAGAAAACUGGUCCCAUCAACAGGCGUCUAUCACGUGGGAGAAGAAUUGGCAAGAUUAAAGGGACGCUCUGCUAUAUGGAAACAUCCCAGAUGCGUCCUGCACCGCACAAAUUAUGUGGAAAGUGACCUUUUUAAGAGGAGGAACUUGGAAUUCUUUUUUCUGGCUUUUGAGGGAGGAUUGGUAUCUCUGCUGACCAUCAUAGAAGACCAAUGUUCUAAAGCAGAUGACAAGUUUUAAGGGAACCCAGUCAAAGGUUUAAAAGCAAUGUUCUGACCCAAGGGGAAAGUUUGACAGGUCAUUUAUUUGAUGAUCUAUAAUGAAAACUGAUGUAGCUACUUUAUGCAAAUCUGUUACCAUAUUUUAAUAGUGAAAUUGGUCAUCAUUUAGGAUUAUUUUCAAUUUAUUGUACAAUAUUUAAGACAUUUUGCAGAAAGGAAAAUAAGUCUAGGUCAAAUGUGCUUUACUUACAGAACAUUACAUAGAUUUCUGAAAUGCUAUUCUUUUCCAUGAAAUAAAUAUUGUACCAUUGAUCUGGAGGAUGAGACAGCAACGAGACCCAGAAUGUGGUCAUUUGCACAGAGUAAUGGUGUGUACUUGUUUUGUAGAAUGGAAGGGAAUUAAAUACAUGUUCAGAUUUA